rnacentral:rRNA from 1 species
ACGGAAGGCAGCAGUGAGGAAUAUUGGUCAAUGGGCGGAAGCCUGAACCAGCCAAGUCGCGUGAAGGAAGACGGUUCUAUGGAUUGUAAACUUCUUUUGUUCGAGGGUAAAGUGAGAGAUGCGUCUCUUAUUGCAAGUAUCGGACGAAUAAGCAUCGGCUAACUCCGUGCCAGCAGCCGCGGUAAUACGGAGGAUGCGAGCGUUAUCCGGAUUUAUUGGGUUUAAAGGGUGCGUAGGCGGGAUGUUAAGUCAGCGGUGAAAGCGUGUUGCUCAACAAUACCGAGCCGUUGAAACUGGCGUUCUUGAGUGUAAACGAGGUAGGCGGAAUGUGAUGUGUAGCGGUGAAAUGCAUAGAUAUGUCACAGAACUCCGAUUGCGAAGGCAGCUUACCAGCAUACGACUGACGCUGAGGCACGAAAGCGUGGGUAUCAAACAGGAUUAGAUACCCUGGUA